rnacentral:rRNA from 1 species
AGUGAACGCUGGCGGUAGGCCUAACACAUGCAAGUCGAACGGCAGCACAGUAGGAGCUUGCUCUUACGGGUGGCGAGUGGCGGACGGGUGAGGAAUACAUCGGAAUCUACUUUUUCGUGGGGGAUAACGUAGGGAAAGUUACGCUAAUACAGCAUACGACCUACGGGUGAAAGCAGGGGAUCUUCGCACCUUGCGCGAUUGAAUGAGCCGAUGUCGGAUUUGCUAGUUGGCGGGGUAAAGGCCCACCAAGGCGACGAUCCGUAGCUGGUCUGAGAGGAUGAUCAGCCACACUGGAACUGAGACACGGUCCAGACUCCUACGGGAGGCAGCAGUGGGGAAUAUUGGACAAUGGGCGCAAGCCUGAUCCAGCCAUACCGCGUGGGUGAAGAAGGCCUUCGGGUUGUAAAGCCCUUUUGUUGGGAAAGAACAGCAGCAGGUUAAUACCCCGCUGUUCUGACGGUACCCAAUGAAUAAGCACCGGCUAACUUCGUG